GAUUCCCCUAGUAACUGCGAGUGAAGCGGGAAAAGCUCAAAUUUAAAAUCUGGCGGUCUUCGGCCGUCCGAGUUGUAAUCUAGAGAAGUGUUACCCGCGCCGGACCGUGUACAAGUCUCCUGGAAUGGAGCGUCAUAGAGGGUGAGAAUCCCGUCUUUGACACGGACUCCCGGGGCAUUGUGGUGCGCUCUCAAAGAGUCGAGUUGUUUGGGAAUGCAGCUCAAAAUGGGUGGUAAAUUCCAUCUAAAGCUAAAUAUUGGCGAGAGACCGAUAGCGAACAAGUACCGUGAGGGAAAGAUGAAAAGAACUUUGGAAAGAGAGUUAAACAGUACGUGAAAUUGCUGAAAGGGAAACGCUUGGAGUCAGUCGCGUUGGCCGGAAAUCAACCUUGCUUCUGUUGGGUGUACUUUCUGGUCGACGGGCCAGCAUCAGUUUUGACCGGUGGAAAAAGUUCGAGGGAAUGUGGCAUCUUCGGAUGUGUUAUAGCCCUUGUCCGUAUACAUCGAUUGGGACUGAGGAAUUCAGCACGCCGAAAGGCCGGGUCUUUGACCACGUUCGUGCUUAGGAUGCUGGCAUAAUGGCUUUAAUCGACCCGUCUUGAAACACGGACCAAGGAGUCUAACAUGCCUGCGAGUGUUUGGGUGGAAAACCCGAGCGCGUAAUGAAAGUGAAAGUUGGGAUCCUUGUCAUGGGGAGCACCGACGCCCGGACCAGAUGUUUACUGACGGCUCCGCGGUAAANCAUGUAUGUUGGGACCCGAAAGAUGGUGNNCUAUGNCUGAAUAGGGUGAAGCCAGAGGAAACUCUGGUGGAGGCCCGUAGC
rnacentral:rRNA from 1 species